UCUGGGCACAAGUGGUCCGCCCACCUCGGCCUCCCAAAGUGCUGGGAUUAUAGGCAUGAACCACAGUGCCAGGCCUAUAAUUUCUCCCUUAAAAACAGUGAAAAUUUAAAAAGCCAAAGACUGAACACAACAGAGAAAAAGGACAAUGGAUUUUUCCUGGCCCUCCUCUAAGAAUUCGGCAGCAGACAGAUAAGAGCUUUCUAAGGGUUCACAGCAAAAGUUCUUGAUGAGGAAGUAACUACUUACAAGCUAUGGCCACUUCUUAAAUGGACAUUAUUAAAAUGUUUACCUGGCACUGCUUUGAG